UAUCUACAAGUUGUAGAAAAGAUUAGAAACAUAAUAAUGGUGAAAGUACCAACAUAGAAGCACUAUAUAUAUGUUGCAUGCUCUUAUUUGUAAUCAAAUCACGUAAUACAAAAAAAUCUUUUUUCACAAAAGCCAUCAAUUGUCCUCUUUAUUUUUUUCAUAUUAGCAUCUUCAAUAUUUAUUAACCAAAUUCAAUAAUCUACUGCAACUUCCGCAUAUUAAUUCUAACACAUAUGAACUGUUGAGUAAUUUGUAUCGGGUAUUUUCUAGAUAAUUUUUGUAUUUAUUUUAAUCAGAAAACCUGAAUUUAGAACUAUCAUUUUUCUGGGUUUGUGUUUUCUGAUUUGUUGAAUCUUUUGGAGUAAGGUUUUGCCAUUGUUGUUAUUAGUAGGUACAAAUAAUGCCUUAGUUGAUAGCAUAAGGGUAGUAUUGUAAAUGUGUUGCUCUAGGGUCUUGUUACUCUUGUAUAUAUAUGCUUAUCAUUAAUGAAUGAAGGCUCUCAAGGAUCAUAUCUUACAGCGAUCCUAUUCUUCUUCAUCUUCUUCUUCUGAUUGUCCUUCUCUGUAUCUUUUUUUGUUGCCAUGACCAACAAGAAAGAAAGUCUUCAUCCUUCCUUAACUGUAACUAAUAUCAAGAAUCACAUUCCCAUACAAUUAGAGUUGGAAACGGGCUUGUAUUCUACAUGGUCUCAAUUGUUCAAGACCCACUGCAAGGCCUAUCGAGUCUUGGACCAUAUCAUUCCAUCUUCCAUUGAUGCUGCUGGUUCUUUAACCCCGUUGAUGGAGGAUAAGGAGGAAUGGGAAUACGUCGACGCUCAUGUCCUUACGUGGCUUUAUGGGUCUAUAUCUCGGACUCUUCUUUCCAUCAUCUCUAAAGCCGACACUGCUCAAAAGGCGUGGGAUGCACUCCAAGACUUAUUCCAAGAUAAAAAGAAAACUAGGGCUGUUUACUUGGAAGAUCAAUUCACCCAUGUGGAACUAUCCCAAUUUGCAGAUGUCAAUGCAUAUUGCCUCCAUUUGAAGAGUUUGGCUGAUCAAUUGGAUAAUGUUGGUGCCCCCGUAUCGGGCCAACGUUUAGUGCUACAACUCAUCAAGGGCCUAUCUACAACAUAUGAUGAGAUGGUUACUGUAUUGGAACAACAAGACCCUCUUCCAACGUUCCAUCAAGCUCGGUUGAAAUUGAUCCUCCAUGAGAAGAGGCGCAAUCAUCAAGCAGCGUGUGAGUCUUCUGUAGAUGCCACUGCUGCUGCUCAACAUUCGAAUGAUGAACCUGAGUUCUCUCUUUCUCCCAAGUCUGAUGGCAACACUAAGGCUGGUUUCUCUAGGGGUAACAAUCGAAAAUACCAAGGCUUGCCGCCUAAGGUUUUUGUGGGUCAUUCAAUAUAUAAAGGGAAAGCUGCUCUAACAGUGGAGCCGAGGGCUCCGGAAUUCACACCAUUGGAGUCAGGUGCAUUUAAACUUUCAUGGGAGGGAUGCAUAAUACUUCAGUUUGCACCUGCUGCUGGUGUUCGUCGAUGGGAUUGGAGUCGAAAACAGGUGUUUUCUCUUUCAGUGUCUGAAAUUGGGACUCUGGUGAGCCUUGGAUCAAAGGAGUCAUGUGAAUUUAUUCAUGAUCCGAACAAAGGAAAUAGGUACUUGGUAAAUUUUUUUAAUUUGCUUGUUAAUAUACUCCUGUGUAAAUUUUCAUGAUAUACUCUUGUGAAUUUUUUCAUGAUCCUUGCACAUCCAUUAUGAAUUCUUGGGUUGCUCUCAUGGUUGGGCCCAUAGUUUAAAAAUAUGGUAAGUAACAGAACUUUGAUGCAGUAACGAGUGAUGUGAUUGUAUCGUCUAAAUAUCAGUUGAAUUAGAAGAUUUCUCUUGAUAAGGUCCAAAACACAGUUGUUUUUUACACCAUUACAAUGUGGGAAGAUCGGUUCGUUUGUUUUGAAAACCUUUACAACAUAGUCGAUGCGAUGCGCUGCGGCCUUGUUUCUACACUAUGGUAGGGCCCGGACACUGGAGUUUGGAGGCGAUUGCUAUGGCUUCUUGACCAUUUACCCCGUUGCUUCUUUAUUUUCAUUUGUCUUUCAACUGUUUCUCAGUUUGCUGAGCCAGGUAGAAGAAAUGUUGCGUUGCUGAUGCCUUCAUAUCUAGGAAUCUUAUCAUAGCUGUUUCAAACAGUUAAUGUUUGCUCUACAAGUCAAGCAGAAGUCUGUAAUAUUAUUGUAACUGUGAUGAAGGCAAAGUAAGGAAGGUAUUAAAAGUGGAGUCCCUUCCAGAUG